rnacentral:rRNA from 1 species
AUUGAACUGAAGAGUUUGAUCCUGGCUCAGAUUGAACGCUGGCGGCAUGCUUUACACAUGCAAGUCGAACGGCAGCACGGGGGCAACCCUGGUGGCGAGUGGCGAACGGGUGAGUAAUACAUCGGAACGUAUCCUUAAGUGGGGGAUAACGCACCGAAAGGUGUGCUAAUACCGCAUAAUCUCCGAGGAGAAAAGCAGGGGAUCGCAAGACCUUGCGCUUUUGGAGCGGCCGAUGUCUGAUUAGCUAGUUGGUGAGGUAAAGGCUUACCAAGGCGUCGAUCAGUAGCUGGUCUGAGAGGACGACCAGCCACACUGGGACUGAGACACGGCCCAGACUCCUACGGGAGGCAGCAGUGGGGAA